GUGCCCCUCAGAUCCCCGCCCCGCCCCCCGGCCGGGUGACGCACAGCCCGCGAGGCCGAGCGCCCGGGGAGGGCGUGAUGACGUCACGACGCCCCGGUCAGGGCCUGGGCGCGGCUGGCGAGCCAGGUCGUCGCUAUAGCAAUGGGGAGCCGCCACCUGUCCCGCAGGGGGACUCGCGCACCUGAGGCUUGUGGCGGGAGCGGGGAGGAGACCGAGGCCCCGAGGGCUCCGCGCCGUCUCGUCGGCUGCCUGCGAGCUAGAAGGGCGCUUCAGGAGCCAGGGAGGACAAGAGGGUCAGGUUAUGAGGGGAGCUGUUCCCGCGGGUUCCGCUGCCUGCACUGAGGCUGCGGACCUUCUCGGGGCUCAGAGCCCCCGGGCUUCCUCUUGCGCCUUACCAACCCCGAAGUGCUUUAGUGUGCGCAGUCCGCAGGCACUGCCUAGGAUCUUCGAGCCAGCCCCCUGAAGGAAGCAAAUUGCAGCUGCAGGAACAUCAGCCAGAGCAGAUACCAGAGAUCAGAGAAGACAGGAUGUGAAGUUUCCCAUCUUACAUGCCUGGCAAGAACAUGAACCUGGGCUCUUGGGAGCUUGGGGCUGGCUGGCUCUGUCACACAGUCUGGAGCCCACUGAUACUUCAAACACCAGCCUCCUGCCUUCUUGCCUCCGGAGGAAGUGUUCCUGGAUUACCUUGACUGGAGGGGAGGAGAGAAGGAGCUGCAGUGACAUGGCUCAAAUCAACAGCAAACUCUUGAGGCUUUUCUUUGUAACCUGGUGUCUCCGUAAAAGAAAGCUGGAUGUGCUGCCCAGGACUCUGUUACUAGUGAAGAAGGGAACGACUGAUAUCAGGAAGCAACGAGCACUUUCUGCUAUGGUACUCACUCAAUAAGUAUGUGUGGACUUGCAUUGAAUCAGCAGGAAAGAUAAGGAAUUAUGUUUGGGGGCAAGAAGUUUGCAGUGAGGAUGAAAUAUCUUAUUUGAAACAGGAGUGGAACGUAUGUGAAAGGGAGCUGAAUAUAUAGAUUCUCAGGUCAGCCACAGAGAGGUUCGCAGAAAACCAUGGCUGGUGAAAGCCCCUGGUUUAGCCUUAGGUCAAGUAUACAGCAUGGGGGGAGGGGUUGGGUGGAAGAGAGGGAAGAGCACCUUGCAAAAGAAAAAAUUGACAGACCACUGUGUGUCAUCACUCUGUGCCUUCAUCUGGGCUCAUUCAGCCUUCCAGUCAGUCUGUAGGAUGCUGCAGCUCCUGCCUGUGGAUAGCUUUGGAGGGUACCUGUUAAGUACAGUAUGCCCUAUUCUCUCCUGUGCCUAGGCUGAGAAUUUUAAGGACAUCCACAGGAAAGAUACCCGCCCCCCCCGAUCUGCUUCUCCCCAUCAAGAUGUAUCCUGCUUAGACCCUGCUUGGGGAAUUCUGGGAGCUGAAGAGUAGGGGGCUGUCCCAUGGAGAGGGAGUAAGGGCAAGGGAAGGGCUUCUCCCCUUGCUACGGAAAGCCUCAAGAAAUUUCUCCCAGGGGAUUUGAAUCAGUGUUUCUCCAUCACACACAAUUUUACCCUAGAGGGGACAUUUGGCCAGGUCUGGGAACAUUUUUGAUUGUUAUGACUGGGGAAGUAGGGUGUGCUAUUGACAUUCAGUGGGUAGAGGCCAGAGAUGUUGCUAAACAUCCUACAAAGCACAGGACAGCCUCCCACAACAAAGAAUUAUCCUGCCCAAAAUAUGAAUAGUGUCGAGGUUGCGAAACCCUGGUUUAUAUGAGUCUGAUCACUGGGCCCACAGGAAACUUAAACAAUCCGUUUCACCCAGACCCAUGCAAUGUCGAUUGACAUUUAGGCUAACUCUAGGCUUCUGACAGGCCUAUUUAAACACCAGAGGAAAGCCUAAACCAUGCUUGUCAUAAUUGACCACCACUUAUUGACCAUCAACUACGCCUGGGUUCUUUACAUAAAUUACUGCCACGUUUUCAACAACCAUAAAGACGUAGGCAGCGCUAUCAUCAUUAUUCCUGUUUCACGGAUGAGCAAACUGAGACUCAAAGAAAAUAGCAAACAGCUAGUAAGUGACCCCAGGGCCCACUCACUUUUCAUUCCCCACAUGCUUCUCAUAUUUGUUACAGUCCCAUUACUACAUAUAUCUGCUUAUGGUGUCAGCUUUUGAAAGCUCAUAAUUGGGCAUGACAAAUGAGGGAGCACUCUACCAACCGAUCAUUCUGUUCAACCUAGUACCUCUUUCUUCAGAUGUUCCAGGUGAACAGGAGUCUCUAUGCUUAAAGCAUAUAAAGAUGUGUCAGGAGGAUGCAGUUCCUUGAAAAGCAAAGCCAAGUAGCCACAAAGCAGAUGAAAAUAUGCCCAAGUUCACGAAGAGGUCAAGGAAGUGCAAAGUAAAGUAACAGAGAGAUACCUCAGGGGGUCCCACCUGUUAAAAUCGCCAAGCACUGGUGCCAUGUCUUGCUGGGUGUGGGGGAAAGGGCAUCCUCACUCACUGUUGUCAGGGAGGGGAGGUGUUAGACCUUUUGCAAAAGCAAUCUGCACUAUCUUCUAAAAUUAAACCCAGGGACACCUUAACCCAGCAAUCCCACUUCUGGACAGAUAACAGAUAACGUAACAAGACUUUUACCACACCCUUGCUUAUGGUAGCAAAAAACUGGAAACACAGUGGAUGCCUGUCACAAGGGGGAAGUUUAAUAAAUUAACAAGAAUGGAUUUUAUCGUAAGUAAUAAUAAUAAUACCGGUAUACAAUCACAACAGUUCCUAUGAUAUAGAAAAAUAUGCCUAGCAAGAUCCCAUUUACGUGCAUUUGUGUAUAUGUAAAUACAGAGGAAAUAUUUGCAUAUGCUUAUAGGACCAUGGAGAAAAAUACAAAAGAGUUCAUUCUAGGUUCUUAAUGUGGGUUUCUUGGAAGUGGAGACCAUACGGGGGUGGGAACCAAGGAAGACUAAAGAAGAAAGGAAAAGGAAAAAAACCGCAUUUAGUAUUGUGUGUGAUAUGACCAAAUGCAUGCACUUAUGCAACACUUAUAAAUGUGUAGGUAUCUGAUUAAAUUAAACUAUAAGAACUGUAAUUCUCAAACGGGCCAUAGCUGAGGAGGAGGCAGCGUGUUUCCCCUGGCCCGCGGGCUCUCGGCUCC